rnacentral:rRNA from 1 species
UACGUAGGGUGCAAGCGUUAAUCGGAAUUACUGGGCGUAAAGCGUGCGCAGGCGGUUCCGCAAGUCAGAUGUGAAAUCCCCGGGCUCAACCUGGGAACUGCAUUUGAAACUACGGAGCUAGAGUGUGUCAGAGGGGGGUAGAAUUCCACGUGUAGCAGUGAAAUGCGUAGAGAUGUGGAGGAAUACCGAUGGCGAAGGCAGCCCCCUGGGACAAUACUGACGCUCAUGCACGAAAGCGUGGGGAGCAAAC